rnacentral:rRNA from 1 species
GACGUAGGGUGCGAGCGUUGUCCGGAUUUAUUGGGCGUAAAGCGCGCGUAGGCGGCCCGAUAAGUCCGCUGUGAAAGUCAACGGCUCAACUGUUGGAUGCCGGUGGAUACUGUCGGGCUAGAGUACGGAAGAGGCAAGUGGAAUUCCUGGUGUAGCGGUGAAAUGCGCAGAUAUCAGGAGGAACACCGGUGGCGAAGGCGGGUCUCUGGGCCGAUACUGACGCUGAGGAGCGAAAGCGUGGGGAGCGAACAGG